GACGAACGCUGGCGGCGUGCUUAACACAUGCAAGUCGAACGGUGAAGCGCCUUCCUUUUUGGUGGGUGUGGAUGAGUGGCGAACGGGUGAGUAACACGUGAGUAACCUGCCCCCUUCUUCUGGAUAACCGCAUGAAAGUGUGGCUAAUACGGGAUAUUCUGGGUCUGUCGCAUGAUGGGUCUGGGAAAGAUAUUGUUUCGGUGGGGGAUGGGCUCGCGGCCUAUCAGCUUGUUGGUGGGGUGAUGGCCUACCAAGGCGGUGACGGGUAGCCGGCCUGGGAGGGUGGACGGCCACACUGGGGCUGAGCCACGGCCCAGACUCCUACGGGAGGCAGCAGGGGGGAAUAUUGCACAAUGGGCGCAAGCCUGAUGCAGCGACGCCGCGUGAGGGAUGGAGGCCUUCGGGUUGUGAACCUCUUUCGCCAGUGAAGCAGGCCUGCCUCGUUUGUGGGUGGGUUGACGGUAGCUGGAUAAGAAGCGCCGGCUAACUACGUG
rnacentral:rRNA from 1 species